AAUAAGUGUUUUAUGGCACUUUUUAAAUCCAUAUCCACCUUGUGUGCAAUGUCAGUCGAUCUUCUUCAUGGAGAUCGACCAAACAUCAACCUUUAUUUUUUAACUUUUUGUCUGAAACAUAUUAUGAAUAACUUGAUUCAAAAUACAACUUUCAACAACGGAUCUCUUGGCUCU
rnacentral:misc_RNA from 1 species